AUGUUCUCUGUAGGAGCUUUCCACAUCAUGGAUGGAUGGAAAACCACAGGGAAGGCCAUCAUGCCACAGCUGGUGGUGAAGAUUGUUGGUGGGAAACAAAUUAAGUAUUUUACUGAUGGGACAAAAAGUCCCACAGAUCAUCUUGAGGUAACAAACUGCUCAGAGGACAGACACAGUCCACCUGUCAGAGUCACGGAUGGAGAUUUAAGCAGAAAAUCACCUUCUCAUGACCUGGAGCAUCUGAGACCAGUUGAGCACACAGCAAACCUGUUAGAUGCCAUCAGACAGGUUCCAGAAAGACGUUGUGUGACGGCGCCAUGUGGAGAUCGUUCACGGUCCUACAUACAUCUGAAGUCCUCAACCAACAUGGGUUACUCAAAACAAAUCAUGCAAAUUCCUCAUAUUACAGAGGAACAGAUGGAGGAGCCAAUUAAAUCCAGUCCAGAGUUCUGCCUCCUCUCAUCUGUCUCGGAGGAACUGCAGGAUUUGGAACCACAAACAUUCCAGAUCAUGGAGGAGGAAGUGACAUCACUUGAUCCGUCCCGAUCCGGAAUCAUCCAUCAGUCAGAACUCACGGGUCUCUUCCUCAGACUGAAGCUCCCUCUGAAGCUCACCACACUGGCCUGCAUGUUCAGAUCCUUCAGAAACACCACUGACCUGGAGCAGGUGCACUAUCAAGACUUGCUGCAGUUCAUACAGAAGGCUGUACAAGACGUGAAACAGCAAAGUGUUGAGGCAGAGAUCUGGGAUGCGUCAGUGGGCAGUACUGACCUGGAAUCAGUGAGCGACUGGAGCGAUAUAAAUGAAGAACAAAGAGAGACAUGGCUUCAGAGGUUCCAGAAGAUGGAGAUGGCCUUACAAAUGUGUGACACCAGAAACACAGGUUAUGUGGAUAGAGAGCAAGCCAAACGCCUGAUACAGAACUACAGCCUCAUCUUUGAUCUGAAUAUGAGUCCACUGAAGAUCAGCGAGGUCAUGGGUAACACUCAGCGAGAGGGCAAAGUUCACCUCACCUCGACUCUGCAGCAGCUGAAGGAACUAUACUCUUCUUUAUCUUUCACUUAAAUCUAUGCAAAUGCUAUCAUCUUCAUUAAAUGCUCUGUCUAGGAAACAUUAACAAUGAUCCUGUAAAAAAGGCUUUUUUGGAAAAAUUGAAAACUGAUUGAAUUUUUAUUUUUUAUUUUUUUUGUAUAAUAUAUUGUAUAAAAAAAACUUAAUCCUAAAUUAAUCAUAUCCUAAAUAAAUAAAUAUUCCUAAGAAUAAUUGUAAUUUUC
ensembl:lncRNA